CUACUCCUACGGGACGCAGCAGUAGGGAAUUUUCGUCAAUGGGCGCAAGCCUGAACGAGCAAUGCCGCGUGAACGAGGAAGGUCUUCGGAUCGUAAAGUUCUGUUGAAGGGGAAAAAGAGCGGAGAGAGGAAAUGGUCUCCGAUUGAUAUUACCCUUCGAGGAAGUCACGGCUAACUACGUGCCAGCAGCCGCGGUAAUACGUAGGUGGCGAGCGUUAUCCGGAAUGAUUGGGCGUAAAGGGGGCGUAGCCGGCCGGCUAAGUCUGGAGGGAAAGGAACCGGCUCAACCG
rnacentral:rRNA from 1 species